rnacentral:rRNA from 1 species
AAUGAACGCUGGCGGCGUGGAUAAGACAUGCAAGUCGAACGGAAACACUGAUUAGUUUACUAGGAUGUGUUUUAGUGGCGGACGGGUUAGUAACACGUGAGCAACCUGCCUCGAAGCGGGGGAUAGCCUUCCGAAAGGGAGAUUAAUACCGCAUGUGACCCCCUUUUACUAGGGUGGUCAAAGACUGCUUCGGCAGUCACUUCGAGAUGGGCUCGCGGCCUAUCAGUUAGUUGGUGAGGUAACGGCUCACCAAGACGACGACGGGUAGCUGGUCUGAGAGGACGAUCAGCAACACUGGAACUGAGACACGGUCCAGACACCUACGGGUGGCAGCAGUCGAGAAUCAUUCACAAUGGGGGCAACCCUGAUGGUGCAACGCCGCGUGGAGGAUGAAGGCCCUAGGGUCGUAAACUCCUGUCAUGUGAGAGUAAGGCAUAUUAGGUUAAGAGCUAAGUAUGUUUGAUAGUAUCACAAGAGGAAGGGACGGCUAACUUCGUGCCAGCAGCCGCGGUAAUACGAAGGUCCCGAGCGUUAUUCGGAAUCACUGGGCGUAAAAAGUACGUAGGCGGUCAGGUAAGUCAGGUGUGAAAUCCCGGAGCUCAACUCCGGAACUGCAUCCGAUACUGCCAGACUUGAGUAAUGGAGGGGCAGGUGGAAUUCUCGGUGUAGCAGUGAAAUGCGUGGAUAUCGAGAGGAAGACCAAUGGCGAAGGCAGCCUGCUGGACAUUUACUGACGCUGAGGUACGAAGGCCAGGGUAGCGAAAGGGAUUAGAUACCCCUGUAGUCCUGGCAGUAAACGGUGCGCGCUUGGUGUAGGAGGACUCGACCCCUUCUGUGCCGGAGCUAACGCGUUAAGCGCGCCGCCUGGGGAGUACGGUCGCAAGACUAAAACUAAGAAAUUGACGGGGACCCGCACAAGCGGUGGAGUAUGUGGCUUAAUUCGAUGCAACGCGAAGAACCUUACCCAGACUUGACAUGUAUUGCUAAGCACGUGAAAGCGUGUGACCCUUCGGGGACCUUACACAGGUGCUGCAUGGCCGUCGUCAGCUCGUGUCGUGAGAUGUUUGGUUAAGUCCAGCAACGAGCGCAACCCCUGUGAAUAGUUGCCAGCACGUAAUGGUGGGGACUCUAUUCAGACCGCCCGGGUCAACCGGGAGGAAGGUGGGGAUGACGUCAGGUCAGUAUGGCCCUUACGUCUGGGGCUGCACACGUACUACAAUGGCCGGUACAGAAGGUU